GCUGAUGGUAGCGGGGCUGCGGCUGCUGGACGCUACACACGGAGCUCGGAGCUCGGGGACGAUGAGAUCGAGGGGCCGGUCAGGAAGGCGGCGGAAGAGACGAGAGGCGCCCCCGGGGGAGGACGCGGCACCGACCCAUCUUCAUGGACGCUGACCUGGACUAUGAGCGGCCCAAUGUGGAGACCAUUAAGUGUGUGGUAGUGGGAGACAAUGCGGUGGGGAAGACCCGACUUAUCUGUGCCCGAGCCUGUAAUGCCACGCUGACCCAGUACCAGCUGCUCGCCACCCACGUGCCUACCGUGUGGGCCAUCGACCAGUACAGAGUGUGCCAGGAGGUCCUGGAGCGCUCCCGUGAUGUGGUGGACGAGGUCAGCGUCUCCCUCCGCCUCUGGGACACAUUUGGAGACCACCACAAGGACAGGCGCUUUGCUUAUGGGAGGUCUGACGUGGUGGUUCUUUGCUUCUCUUUGGCUAACCCUUAUUCUCUGCGUCACGUCAAGAGCAUGUGGCUGCCAGAGAUCAAGCACUUCUGCCCUCGCACUCCUGUGGUGUUGGUGGGGUGUCAGCUGGACCUGCGGUAUGCUGAUCUGGAUGCUGUGAAUCGAGCCCGCCGCCCCCUGGCUAAACCUAUAAAGCCUACAGACAUUCUGUCUCCAGAGACUGGCCAUGAGGUGGCCAAAGAGCUAGGCAUCCCCUAUUACGAGACCAGUGUGGUGGCGCAGUUUGGGGUGAAGGAUGUCUUUGACAAUGCCAUACGGGCAGCCCUUAUUUCAAGAAGACACUUGCAGUUUUGGAAGUCUCAUUUAAAGAAAGUUCAGCAUCCAUUGCUCCAAGCUCCAUUCCUACCUCCUAAGCCUCCUCCACCCAUCAUACACCUCCCAGAUCCUCCACAAAACAAUGGCCAAGGCCCAGCUGCCCUGUUUUGCACCCCUCUGUGUGCUGAUGUGGUUUUCCAUUUGCUGAGUGGACAGAAGAUCUUUGCCCAUAAAGUCUAUUUGGCCACUGCAUGUUCCAAAUUUUAUGACCUCUUCACUUUAGAAUUGUUACCUGCGGAGAUGAAUGAUGAGAAGCCAACACAACGGAGUCCAGGGGUGAAUGAACCUUUGUGGACUAGGAACCUUGCCAUUGAGGGAAAAUGUGAGGCCUUAAAUGGACAGCUGCUUAGUCUUAUGACUUCUGAUGAGGAUGGUGGUAGUGAUGUGAAUGGCGGAGGGAACACUCGUCUCGGUUGGGGCAGAAAUUUGUCAGAUUGGGGUAGAGGCUUUGUCAGCGUACAAAUAGACAUUGUAGACGAUCCACUAACACAACGCAAAAGGUCAAUGAUGGUCAUCCAGAUGGAUGCGCUCAUCCAGGAGCAGCCACUAAGGGCAGUGCUGGAGUACUUGUACACGGGACACUUGAACCAGAGUAGGGCCGAGCUCAUGCAGAUCGCCACCAUCGCCGAGGCCUUAGAGGUCUUUGACCUUCGUAUGAUGGUCUCCAACCUGCUAAAUAAAGAGGGCUUCAUGAAUCAAGAAAUCACAAAAGCCUUUCAUGUGAGAAGAGCGAACCGGAUCCGGGAGUGUCUGAGCCGAGGUCUCUUCUCUGAUGUGGUAUUUACAGUGGACGACGGCCCCGUACCUGCCCACAAGCCCCUUCUGAUAGCAAACUGUGACUGGAUGGUGGCCAUGUUCCGGGGCUCAUUUCGGGAGAGCUUCACCCGAGGGGUCUCUCUGCCCGGCACGUCGUCCUCCUGCCUGCGGGCAGUUCUGGAGUAUCUGUACCUUGGUCAUUUCUCACCAAGACCCGAGCUGGACUGUACGGAACUCCUGAUCCUGAGUAACCGGCUGUGUCUUCCGCACCUGCAGGCUCUGACUGAGCAACAUGCUGUGGAUGAGCUCCUGGCGUCCUGUGUGCAGGGAGCAGAUAUAGCUGGACAAGUUCUCCAGUAUCUGGACAUAGCGCAGUUCCACAAUGCCAAGCAGCUGACGGACUGGUGCCUCCACUACAUCUGUACCAACUACAAUGCUGUGUGCCGAAGGUUUCCCCGGGAGCUGAAAUACAUGUCGCCAGAUAAUAAGAGCCACUUUGAGCGCUGUCGUUGGCCCCCGGUGUGGUAUCUGAAGGAAGAAGAUCGCUACCUGCGCUGCAGGAAGGAGCGCGAACGUGAAGAGGAGAUGAUCCGUAAACAGCACAGCAAGAGUAAGUGGUGUUUCUGGCGGCCAUCAUCCUCCACUUCCUCAUCAUCGGUGUCCUGACGUGACGGCUCCUGUGCCUUCCAUGUGGUGGAGAAGAAGAGCCUGUUCCUGAUAAUCUCCAGCUUGUGUAAUCCUCAGAACCUCCUUACUCAUUGUUAUUGCACUACAUGGACCACACAAGUCAAUGGUGACACUAACCACUUGGGAUCUUCUAAACCCGAAGACGCCACAAGAAAAAUUGUUACCACUGAGCAUCAACCCAAAAAUUCUAGGUGAUCUUGUGGGAUUCCUGUCACCGCUGUGGAGCAACACUUAGUGUUAUGCUAUAAAUCAGUAUUUGCCGUGGUUGGAAGGGGCAGGGACGCCCUAGUAUUGUACAUGGGGCUAAUGGAGAAUGUCAAGCUGCGGGAAGGUAGAUUUGUGGAGCCAUGACCAGGCUGCUCCCUCUCCAUGCUUCAUGUGCCCAGCCUCCUUUGUCACCUGUCAUAUGGUCCUACAUGAUGGGCCUUCCUGUACGUCUUUAGCGCGGUCAGAACGUUUUCCCCCGAUUACAUGCAGUGGUGUUACAUGCAUGUGCAUGCACUUUAGGUUUUUCUACAUUUCACGUAUAUUGAGUUUGCCUCCCGGGGGUACCUGGCGCCUUUAUAGGAGGUUUUGCUGUGGUGGUGGAUGGUGUUCAGGUGUGUGGUUUCUCGCUUGGCGUUUUUAUAAGUGACCUUUUCUAACACAUGAUUUCAGUAUUAGGUAUUGUUUCCUGGUCUUACAUUUCAAGCCCCACUAGGACAUGACACGACCCCACAUUCUCCGCCCAGGGUUCCAGAUGAGGUGGACAUUACGAUUCAUGUCUGGUAUUAAUGGCUACACGUGAUAACCAUGCUGUGACAUGAUGGGGGGGCUGGUACACGGUACGGUAUCAGGACGAGGGCUGGUACGCGGUACGGUAUCAGGACGAGGGCUGGUACGUGUACGGUAUCAGGAUGAGGGGUCACAGUGUACGUUUCUCUACUUUGUCAGCUCCGCUUUUCUCUCGUGUUCUAGAAUAUCCUAUUAUAAUGUGAUUCUCUUGAGCUAUUGAGCAACACAGCGCAAACUUCUAUAGGAAAGUCGUCCUAUCAGGGAACCUGUGGUCACCUUCCACUGCCAGCGGUAGCCAAUCAGUGUUCUGAGCUGUGGUCAUUGAGAAGUUUGCAGUCAGUAUUGGGAUCUCGCUUUCUCCAUGUGGUGCUGAGACGAUUGGCACAAUGUUUACAUCUUUCUAAUGCAGCCUUACAGCCAGGAGACCAUGAGACGUGACACGUUGUAGACUCUCUAAUGGACCCAGCGGGGAUUUAGUGGGCUGCUGUGGCCUUACAUCAUGGAGGAGACCAUCCAGUGCAUGAUGGAGGUGACUCGACAGCAUCCUGCACAGGUCGGACUCUGGUGUCUUUGUAGCAUGCAAUUAAUGAUGGACACGAGACGGUUACGUGCACAGUUUUUUACUUUUUUUGAUAACAUGUGAUUCUUUGCAAGUUGCUUCGGCCUCCAUCCUCCACAUCCAGUAUGGACACUUAGCUCUCAAAACUACAACUCUCACCGGAAGUCUGACUUCCCAGCACAGAAGGGAAACACUUUUUCUAUUAUUGUUGUUUGGACUUUUCAUGCUCCGCGGCUCAGUCCUUCACCCAAGAUGCCAAAACAGCAGCCACGUUCCUUCUCCCAGUCACAAGGGGAGCCAUGUAGGGAGGCUCUUCCUUCACGACUAAUCUCACAUGUUUACAGCACAAAACCCGUCCUGCAAAAAAAAGCAACUGACCUGCUUCACAACCUCUGUGCCUUUACCAACCCAAUGGGAACUGGACAAGUAGUAAUCUGACACCGAAAACAAUCCCGGCCGGGAUGUUAGAUCCACCCCUCCAGCUCCACCAGUCUUACUUCUAUCUGCUUGAAUGGUAUGGUCCAUUGUAGAUAUUCUCCUUUGCAGGGUUGAAUGGAAUGGACCACCCAGAGUGCAUGUGGCUGAUGCCAUCCUCUUCUCCAUCUUAAAGUGGGUUGUAUGAGAUUACAAGAAGUAACUGUGUGAUCCACAGUCUGUGCCUCUUUUGUCCAUGGGCUGUCUGGUACUCAAUAGAGUGGAGCUAAGCUGCAAAAACAGUCCACCCCAUGGACAAGGGUGGCACUGAUUAUAAGAGAAAGCAGCCAUGUUGUUCUCCUACAAGCCUUUUAAGCCAUGUUCCUCUCAUCAGACUAAUUAAGACUGUAGUAUUUUCCUGUGCCUCUCAUGAGGCUACUCGGGUAACUGUUGUACGUGUCCCAUCAGACUGGGUAGCUGUUUACAUCUCCCAUUAGAUUACCAGACUGCUUGGGUAGCUGUUGUACAUGCCUUUUCAUACUACUUGGGUAGCUGUUGUACAUGCCCCUUCAGACUGCUUGGGUAGCUGUUAUACAUGCCUCUUCAGACUGAUUGGGUAGCUGUUGUAUAUGCCUCUUCAGACUGAUUGGGUAGCUGUUGUAUAUGCCUCUUCAGACUGCUUGAGUAGCUGUUGUGUGUGCUCAAUCAGAUUGCUUGAGUAGCUGUUGUAUGUGCCCCUUCUUCAGACUGCUUGGGUAGCUGUUGUGUGUGCUCCAUCAGACUGCUUGAGUAGCUGUUGUAUGUGCCCCUUCACACUGCUUGGGUAGCUGUUGUGUGUGCUCAAUCAGAUUGCUUGGGUAGUUGUUGUAUGUGCUCCUUCUUCAGAUUGCUUGGGUAGUUGUUGUAUGUGCUCCUUCUUCAGACUGCUUGGGUAGUUGUUGUAUGUGCUCCUUCUUCAGACUGCUUGGGAAGUUGUUGUAUGUGCUCCUUCUUCAGACUGCUUGGGAAGUUGUUGUAUGUGCUCCUUCUUCAGACUGCUUGGGAAGUUGUUGUAUGUGCUCCUUCUUCAGACUGCUUGGGUAGUUGUUGUAUGUGCUCCUUCAGACUGCUUGGGUAGCUGUUGUAUGUGCUUCUUAAGACUGCUUGGAAUAAUUUGGCUCAUGCUGUGUGCUUCCAAUCAUGGUUGAAAGGGUAUGAUCUAGGGAGACUUGUUGAAUUGUGGAGGUGUCUAUGAUAUUUCAGCUUUAAUUUCUCAGAAUCUCUUGGGGAAUGUUGCAGCAGUUUGGUCCUCUGUUCCCUGGGACUAGCUUUCA